ACAAGCGGUGGAGCGAUGUGGUUUAAUUCGACGCAACGCGAAGAACCUUACCUGGGCUCGAACGGUUGACGACGCCCGCUAGAAGUAGUGGGGUUUCCUUCGGGAACGGCAAUCGAGGUGCUGCAUGGCUGUCGUCAGCUCGUGUCGUGAGAUGUUGGGUUAAGUCCCGCAACGAGCGCAACCCUUGUCCUGUGUUGCUAAUCUUCGGAUGCACUCUCAGGAGACCGCCAGCGACAAGCUGGAGGAAGGUGGGGAUGACGUCAAGUCAGCAUGGCCUUUAUGUCCAGGGCUACACACGUGCUACAAUGGGCAGGACAACGCGUCGCGAACCCGCGAGGGGGAGCUAAUCGUAUAAACCUGUUCUCAGUUCGGAUUGCAGGCUGCAACUCGCCUGCAUGAAGCUGGAAUCGCUAGUAAUGGCAGAUCAGCAUGCUGCCGUGAAUACGUUCCCGGGCCUU
rnacentral:rRNA from 1 species